AUUGAACGCUGGCGGCAGGCCUAACACAUGCAAGUCGAGCGGUGCGGCGGCCGGGUGAGUAAUGCCUAGGAAUCUGCCUGGUAGUGGGGGAUCACGUCCGUCACCGGGCGCUAAUACCGCAUACUAUCAGAUGAGCCUAGGUCGGAUUAGCUAGUUGGUGGGGUAAAGGCCUACCAAGGCGACGAUCCGUAACUGGUCUGAGAGGAUGAUCAGGCACACUGGAACGGAGACACGGUCCAGACUCCUACGGGAGGCAGCAGUGGGGAAUAUUGGACAAUGGGCGAAAGCCUGAUCCAGCCAUGCCGCGUGUGUGAAGAAGGUCUUCGGAUUGUAAAGCACUUUAAGUUGGGAGGCGUUACCAACAGAAUAAGCACCGGCUAACUUCGUGCCAGCAGCCGCGGUAAUAC
rnacentral:rRNA from 1 species